rnacentral:rRNA from 1 species
AACGAACGCUGGCGGCAGGCUUAACACAUGUAAGUCGAACGGGCGUAGCAAUACGUCAGUGGCAGACGGGUGAGUAACACGUGGGAAUAUCCCUUUCAGUUCGGAAUAACUCAGGGAAACUUGAGCUAAUACCGGAUACGUCCUUCGGGAGAAAGAUUUAUCGCUGAGAGAUUAGCCCGCGUCUGAUUAGCUAGUUGGUGAGGUAAUGGCUCACCAAGGCGACGAUCAGUAGCUGGUCUGAGAGGAUGAUCAGCCACACUGGGACUGAGACACGGCCCAGACUCCUACGGGAGGCAGCAGUGGGGAAUAUUGGAAAAUGGGGGAAACCCUGAUCCAGCCAUGCCGCGUGAGUGAUGAAGGCCUUAGGGUUGUAAAGCUCUUUUGCCAGGGAAGAUAAUGACUGUACCUGGAGAAUAAGCCCCGGCUAACUUCGUGCCAGCAGCCGCGGUAA